UACAGAGGUCCCAAGCGUUGUUCGGAUUCACUGGGCGUAAAGGGUGCGUAGGCGGCCUGGUAAGUAGGGGGUGAAAUCCUGCGGCUUAACCGCAGGGCUGCCUUCUAAACUGUCAGGCUUGAGCACGGUAGAGGCAGAUGGAAUUCCCGGUGUAGCGGUGGAAUGCGUAGAGAUCGGGAAGAACAUCAGUGGCGAAGGCGGUCUGCUGGGCCGUUGCUGACGCUGAGGCGCGACAGCGUGGGGAGCAAACAGG
rnacentral:rRNA from 1 species